UCUCAGGGUAUGUAACACUUCUUCAUACCAUAUCACACACUUAACAAUCAUUUAUUUACUGGAAAUGCUUUGUUUGCUCAUUAAUUUUGAGUGCUGUGAGGGCAGGCAUUCCAUUUGUUUUCCUCCUUUCUGCACCCCAGGCACCCAGCACAUACUAGGCACCCAGUAGAUACCUGGCAUCUGACUGUCAGGGCCCAGCAUGGAAGCCGAGGCAGGUCAGUGAGGAACCUUUAAGAAGUCCUUGCUGUGUACACAGCCUUACAAUGUAUGUGGGUAGCUAUUUCACCUCCUUGUUACUUUUAGAGAAAUGGAGGCUCUGAGAGGAGAAAUGGCUUACCCAACGUCAUGCGACUAGAAAUUCCAGCUUGAAGCCUCAUGGCAGGAGAGCUCAGACCAGCAGAGAGACCUCAGAUUGCUCCCAGCCUUGGCCUGCCUGUCACACUUCCUCUUUGCCCUGGCAGCUGCAGGGUUGUUGACUGCACAGAGUUUUUCUUCCCUUUUCCUUUCUUUCUCUCUCUCUCUUUCCCUCCCUCCCUCCUUCCUCUCUGUGUCUGUCUCUGGUGUCUGAGUUAGUUCCUUAUGGUGAGUUCUUGGUCUCCCUGACUUCGAGAAUGAAGCCGUGGACCUUCGCGGUGAGUAUUACAGCUCUUAGAGGUGGCACAGACCCAAAGAGUGAGCAGCAACAAGAUUUAUUGUUAAGAGUGAAACAACAGAGUUUCCACAGCCUGGAAGGGGACCCAAGGAACUUGCCACUGCUGGCUGGGGUGGUCAGUUUUUAUUUCCUUAUUUGUCCCCGCCCACAUCCUGCUGAUUGGUCCAUUUUCCAGAGUGCUGAUUGGUCCAUUUUACGGAGUGCUGAUUGGUCCAUUUUACGGAGUGCUGAUUGGUCCAUUUACAAUCCUCUAGCUAGACACAGAGGGCUGAUUGGUACGUUUUACAAUCCUAGCUACAGAGUGCUGAUUGGUGCAUUUAUAAUCCUUUAGCUAGACACAGAGCACUGAUUGGUGCAUUUACAAUCCUCUAGCUACCCAGAAAAUUUUGCCAAGUCCCCACUUGACCCAGGAAGUCCAGCUGGCCUCACCCUUCACUUUCUGUUUCCCCAGGAUUCACAACUGGGCUCCUCUUGCUGUGUUGGAGGGAGAUGUUUCACCUGAGCACCAUGUUUCACAUGGCAGUGGGGCAAGGCACUGAGGCUGUGUGGCAUGGCACCACAGGGUGGCCACUGGUCCCUGAGUCGGCAGACCUGGCUCUCUUUUCCCUGCCAUGCUGACUUCAUGUUUAUGGCUAAGAAGCCUCUCCCAGGGAGCAGCUGAGCUUCAGGGGCAUUCCUGGAGCGUCCAGGAGAGCAAUAUGGCCCUUUGCUGGUGGAGAACCUGAGACCCUCAAGGAGAAAGUGAAGAAAAUUCUCUCUGCAUACAGACCCCUUCCCAUUUUCCCAUUCUGGGUUGACUAUCCUCCCUCAUAGAUGUGCUCAUGAGUCUUGGAAAUUCUCUUGACUCAUUGCCAUUUAAAAUAUCUGUGUUGCUUCUGAUGAUAGAUGGUUGAUUUAUAAAAUGGUUUGGCUCUCUUUAUGAUAGAAUAUUAUACAGGCAUCAAAAACAAUAAUGUAGGAGACAAGGAUAUGAGGAGAUGUUCAAGCUGUAUUCUGUGAAAAGAAAAAAAGAUUGCAGAAUACAGCAUAUGUUCCCAUUUUUUUUUUUUUUUUUUUUUUACAAAAAUGUGGACCUAGGUACAUAAUGUGUGCUAUGCAUAGGAAAAAGCCUGGAGAACUUGCACGAAAUGGUCACACUGUUUUUCAGUGAUGGUAAGAUAAAGGGUAAUUUUAAAAAUUCCUAUUCUUUUCCAGAUUGUUUCUAACACUGCGCAUGCCUUUCGGAGACAAAUUUUAAAAAUAAACAUUAUUUUUAAAAGGAAACAAACAAACAAAACCAAACAGAAGGGAGGCUGGGUUUCUUGGGGAUUUCGGGAGUGCCUGUGUCUCCACGACCUGGGCAGUGCUCUUCUGAGAGGACUGAGGGCUGGGGAGGCAGAGAGAGCAACGACAGGCUACCAGCAUUGAGAAAGAAGGCCUCAAGGCCACAUUGAGAAGGACACUACGCUCUGGAUCACAGGCUGAGCCCUGCAUUCUUGACAUUGGAGCCCUUCGGGAGUGCCAGAACGAGCAGUCCCUCUCCUGGAGGAGCCUGCCUUCCCACCACGGAGGCUAACACCACAACAGCCACAGUGAGCCACCCCUUCUGCCCAUCUUCUUACGUGUCAAGCACUGUGUUCAGUGCCUUCACAGGUAACUUCGAUAAGUCACGAUGGGCAUGCUGCGACUAAGUUGGUACUGAUAUUCUAUUGGUUUUAAAUGGGGAAACUGAGGCUCAGGAAGGUUCAGUAUUUUGCUGGAGGUCACACAGCCAGGCAAGGGCAGAGCCAAGAUUUCAGUUUCAAUCUGUCUGGCUUGGAAGACUUCCUUAUCUUGUGGCAGCAUCUCCAGAGAUCAUGGGUCAGCCUCUUCUUGCCAGAGGCGUGUGUGUGUGCACAGACACAUACACGCUGAGUGACAGAGGGACAAAAACAGUGAGCACCCACCCAGGCACUGUGCUCGAAAUUCUUCCUGCAAACCUGCAAGGGACAGGGCUUUGCUCUGUCUCCCAGGCUGGAGUGCAGGGGUGCCAUCAUAGCUCACUGCAGCUUUGACCUCCUGGACUAAGCUAUCCUCCUGCCUCGGCCUCCUGAGUGGGAAGGACUACAGGCCCCCAAAGGCUCUGCGCAGACCAGCACUGUCUCCUCCUUCAUCCACAGAGAGGAUGAAAGAACAUGGCAAGAGGAAGACUCACAGAACCCCACAGAGAAGCUUUGAGAAUUGGGCUGUCUGGCUCUCCCAUCACCCAUUUGGCCACCAGCUUUGGUCCCAGCUGCUGUGCCCUCGGGGGAUGCAUUAUGGCCCUGAAAGGGGCCCUUGUCCCUUUUUGGGGUGUCAUCCUGGCUGGGUGGUAUGGAUUUCUGCUGUAAACAUGGCCCAUCUGGGAGAAGCCCAGGUGCCACGUUUUGAACAGCUCUGAAACUUAAAGCUCAGAAGGCUUUGAAAUGCAAAUAUUUUGAAGGAAACAUAAGGUUCCUUGAAUUUCUACGUGAAUUUUAGGAUCAGCUUGUCCAUUUCUGCAAAGAAGCCAGCUGAGCUUUUGAUUGGAAUUGCAUUGAAUCUGUAGAUCAAUUUGGAGAGCAUUUGCAUCUUAACAGUAUUAAGUCUUCUCAUCCAUGAACAUAUUAUAUUUUUCCAUGUAUUUAGAUCUUUAAUUGCCUUCAACAAUGUUUUGUAGUUUUUAGAAUAUAAAUCUUGCACUUCUUUUGUUAAAUGUAUUCCAAAGUAUUUC
rnacentral:lncRNA from 1 species